rnacentral:lncRNA from 1 species
ACUCUAUGAACAAUGGAAGAAAAGAAGGGAAUGGAAGACUAAGAAUUGGCUAAGAGUGUGUUGUUAUGCUCUUCUCUGUCAGGGAUGCAAAACCUAGAGCCCUAGAAUCCUUUAAAUAGUGUCAGAUGUGUUCCAAAGUGCGGCUCGGUCUGAAAGAAUUAAAACAGAGUAGAAACAGGGCCCGAAGCAGGUGAUGUAUCGCUCAAACGUAGUAGGGAGCUCGCCAGGGCGAGAUUUGAGGAGUAUGUUGGGCUUGGGCGUCAGAUUUGGACGCACAAGCUUCGAGCGUCUGUCGCCCAGGCAUCAGGGCCACCGCCAGGCGACCAGCGGUGAUUUUGCUCGCGUAGUUUUCUCAUUCCUAUCGCUCGGGCUUCGCGUUUUCCCUCUUCUUGGUGCC